rnacentral:rRNA from 3 species
GCGACCCCAGGUCAGGCGGGACUACCCGCUGAGUUUAAGCAUAUCAAAA